AGUUGGCGGUGUAACGGACCACCAAGACGACGAUGCGUAGGGGUUCUGAGAGGAAGGUCCCCCACACUGGUACUGAGACACGGACCAGACUCCUACGGGAGGCAGCAGUGAGGAAUAUUGGUCAAUGGGCGGGAGCCUGAACCAGCCAAGUCGCGUGAGGGAUGACGGCCCUAUGGGUUGUAAACCUCUUUUGCCGGGGAGCAAAGUGCCGCACGUGUGCGGUUUGGAGAGUACCCGGAGAAAAAGCAUCGGCUAACUCCGUGCCAGCAGCCGCGGUAAUACGGAGGAUGCGAGCGUUAUCCGGAUUUAUUGGGUUUAAAGGGUGCGUAGGCGGACGCUUAAGUCAGCGGUAAAAUUGCGGGGCUCAACCUCGUCGAGCCGUUGAAACUGGGUGCCUUGAGUGGGCGAGAAGUACGCGGAAUGCGUGGUGUAGCGGUGAAAUGCAUAGAUAUCACGCAGAACUCCGAUUGCGAAGGCAGCGUACCGGCGCCCAACUGACGCUGAAGCACGAAGGCGUGGGUAUCGAACAGGAUUAGAUACCCUGGUAGUCCACGCAGUAAACGAUGAAUGCUAGUUGUCCGGGGCGAUUGAGUUCUGG
rnacentral:rRNA from 1 species